GACUGUGUCGGUGCGCUGAGGAGAGCGGAGAGUAUCGAGCGCUGUGUCUUAUUUCCUGCCGACUACCCGUCAGCUAUCAGCGGACCGAGAUCCACAGCGUCCCGCCGUAGGAUUCGUCCUCCGUGGACGAAGAGGCGGAAGAUCCCCCGAAACCUUUAAUUAACAGCGGAGUUAAGAAAUCAAGAAGAGAGUGUACAGUCUAUGUAGCUAGUCUGCUAAAGAGCUAUCUAACUGGAAAGCUAUCUAGCAACCCAGGUAGGGCAACCUCGUUUGCUAGCAGCUAGCGCUGGGGAAAAAAAGAAGCGGAGGGGGACCCGUAGCGGCGGAAAACCGGGUCGGUCGCUCCAUCCAAAGGGAAGCCUUCACGGUUCUGGAAAUUCAAAAAAGGAAAAAAGAGGCCCCGGUCAGUGGACCCCUGUUCUGCGCGUCUCUGAAUGAGACUCCAGGAUCACAGGGGCUGAAGAGGGCGGUCUGUGGGCCAACAGAGACGCAGAAUCAAUGCCAAGCCACUCUCCUCUUCAGGCAGCCUGGUGAAGGUGCAGGAGGUAGCAAGCUGGC